GGCGAAGUAGCUCAGCUGGUUAGAGCGUACGACUCAUAAUCGUAAGGUCGGCGGUUCGACCCCGCCCUUCGCUACCA
rnacentral:tRNA from 1 species